CUCAGUUCACCUCAAACCGUAUCCGAAAAACAGCACUGUAGCCACUAGAUGGGAGAGAAUCAAGGUACAAAAGCAUUACAUCAUUUACUACGCCAAGCUAGUCAGCUUGAUUAUAGACGCCAUCCUCCUGCAUUCCAUCACGGCUUGCCGCCGGGGACGAGCCCUCCGCCGGGAAGACUACCUACACCCGGCAGCCCUCCUCCUACAGCAG
rnacentral:misc_RNA from 1 species